AGUGGUGGCUCAGUGGUUAAGGCCUUGGCCUACUGCUCUGAAGGUCAUGAGUUCAAAUCCCAGCACCACCA